CUUCAAGCCCGCCUCCUUCAAGGUCCUAACUGUUCCUGCCUAGGCCUUUCAGUUCCAUGGAAGAGAUGUGUGAGGUGACCACCUGAUCCCCAGCAUGGUAUCUUUCUCAUUGCUCCCAUGUUCGUCUGUGCUCCACCUCAGCAGGAGCCUUAGCUGUGAGGCUCUGUGACUCAGGUGAGUGCUGCUCUGCUCCUGUGCCCAGUCCUGGACCAAAACCGCCUGGCUUUAGGAUUCUGGCCCAGGUGGUGCCCCAGGGAGCCUGAGCCUGGCUGGGAUCCUGCCUGAUGUCCAGCUGUCCAAUCUGAAAUGAAUGUAGAGGGCAACCUGCAGCCAUACAAUAAGCAGCAGAUAAAACUGUAG
rnacentral:lncRNA from 1 species